GUUCGGUGAUAUAGUGGUUAUCAUGUCUGCUUUACACGCAGAAGGUCCCCGGUUCGAACCGUGGUCGAACUC
rnacentral:tRNA from 1 species